UGGCCCGUGGUGGAAUUGGCAACACGUCUGGCUCUGGACCAGAAGAUUCCAGGUUCGAGUCCUGGCGGGCCAA
rnacentral:tRNA from 10 species